UCUUAGUUGUUGUUUUUUCUUUUUUUUUGCUGUUUUUGAGAAUUUUUUUAUUUUUAUUUUUAGACAGCAGCUAGGUAAGAAAAUAUGACAGGGGCUCAUGCUAGAGAAUAUCCGCACGGCGCGCUGCCACCCUACAAGCGUCAGCCUGUCGAAACUGGGUGAGAGGAGGACGCAGACACCGGGUGCUGAAGGUUGGUCGUCUGAGUGGAGGAAUCUUUGGAGCUCUCCAGGGGUGGCCUACAGGCUGCUAUGGCUGGUCAAACGGAACCAAGUCCGAAUUCCAUGGAGGUUUGGUCCCCUUCAACCAGCUAUGGCAGUGCUGAACUCUCCAGCCUCUGACCACGGCGCUGCCACCGGAGCCGAUGGAAUAACAUUAUCAUUGAUUAUUAUUUAGUCGUUUUAAUCGUUCAAUUUCUAUUUGAUCUCUCGUUUAAUCCAGUGCUAUAUGUUAAUGUAUAUGAUCGUUGUAGAAAUUUGUUAGAAUUGCAGAAUUUUAUUUCUAUAAUUUUUUUUAAUGGCUAUUUCUAUCUUGUGUAAUAAAUGCAUUCAGAGGA